rnacentral:rRNA from 1 species
GCGGUUAAAAAGCUCGUAGUUGAAUCUGUGUGUCACGAUGCUGGUUCACCGCUCGCGGUGUUUAACUAGCAUGCCGUGAGACGUCCUACCGGUGGGCUUAGCUCGUCACGGGCGGUCCAACUAAUAUCCCAUCGCGGUGCUSUUCGKKGAGUGUCGAGGUGGGCCGGUACGUUUACUUUGAACAAAUUAGAGUGCUUAAAGCAGGCUAUCUUCGSCUGAAUWCUGUGUGCAUGGAAUAAUGGAAUAGGACCUCGGUUCUAUUUUGUUGGUUUUCGGAACCCCGAGGUAAUGAUUAAUAGGGACAGAUGGGGGCAUUCGUAUUGCGACGUUAGAGGUGAAAUUCUUGGAUCGUCGCAAGACGGACAGAAGCGAAAGCAUUUGCCAAAAAUGUUUUCAUUAAUCAAGAACGAAAGUUAGAGGUUCGAAGGCGAUCAGAUACCGCCCUAGUUCUAACCAUAAACGAUGCCAGCUAGCGAUCCGCCGAAGUUCCUCCGAUGACUCGGCGGGCAGCUUCCGGGAAACCAAAGCUUUUGGGUUCCGGGGGAAGUAUGGUUGCAAAGCUGAAACUUAAAGGAAUUGACGGAAGGGCACCACCAGGAGUGGAGCCUGCGGCUUAAUUUGACUCAVCACGGSAAACCUCACCAGGCCCGGACACCGGAAGGAUUGACAGAUUGAUAGCUCUUUCUUGAUUCGGUG